rnacentral:lncRNA from 1 species
UCACAUUUAUUCAAUACAAUAAAACAUUUAAAAGUUCAACAACCAUUCAUAAAAAGAGAUCAACGCUAAUUUGAAAACUAGAUAAAUGAUCCAUCCAUAAAAAACAUCUACAUUUUUUCAAACUCCUCACUAAUUAGCUUUUUCCGUUCAUCCACAAAUGAUCUAUGUGAUUUCUUGUGUGUCUCCCGAAAACAUAAAUGUAAGAUGCAUAUCCAUUCUUUUCCUUCUACAAAAUAAAAAUUAAUCUGAAAAAAAUGACAAAGUCAAAGAUAACACUUAAAUCAAACUGAUUAAAAAGAAGUAAAACACAAAAACAUACUGGAGAUGAAUAAGCUUACGGAGAACUAUU